rnacentral:rRNA from 1 species
UACGUAAGGGGCGAGCGUUAUCCGGAUUUAUUGGGCAUAAAGGGCGCGUAGGUGGUAUGUUAAGUCAGAUGUUAAAGGCCUUGGCUUACCCAAGGUUCGCAUUUGAAACUGAUGUACUAGAGGUUAGUAGAGGAAAGCGGAACUCACAGUGUAGCGGUGAAAUGCGUAGAUAUUGUGAGGAACACCAGUUGCGAAGGCGGCUUUCUGGCCUAAUACUGACACUGAGGCGCGAAAGCGUGGGGAGCAAACGGG